rnacentral:rRNA from 1 species
UGGCGGACGGGUGAGUAACGCGUGGAAAACCUGCCGUAUACUGGGGGAUAACACUUAGAAAUAGGUGCUAAUACCGCAUAAGCGCACGGCUUCGCAUGAAGCGGUGUGAAAAACUCUGGUGGUAUACGAUGGUUCCGCGUCUGAUUAGCUAGUUGGUGGGGUAAUGGCCUACCAAGGCAACGAUCAGUAGCCGGCCUGAGAGGGUGAACGGCCACAUUGGGACUGAGACACGGCCCAAACUCCUACGGAAGGCAGCAG